rnacentral:lncRNA from 10 species
GAUUUCGGCGUCAGACCUAUGAGGCAGGCUGGAGUGCAAUGGCAAGAUCUCGGCUCACUGCAACCUCCGCCUCCCGGGUUCAAGCGAUUCUCCUGCCUCAGCCUCCCGUGUAGCUGGGACUACAGGUGCGUGCCACCACGCCCGGCUAAUUUUUUGUAUUUUUAGUAGAGAUGGGGUUUCACCAUAUAGGCCAGAUGGUCUCGAUCUCCUGACCUCGUGAUCCGCCCACCUCGGCCUCCCAAAGUGCAGGGAUUACAGGCGUGAGCCAUCGCUCCUGGCCUCGCGCCUUAGAAAAAUCAUUCUUUAAUCCCACCUUUCCCUCUAGCCACCAGCCCAUCUCCCUGCCUCCCCCCUCACCCCAACAAUAGAACUUAAAAUAGCUGUACCCUGGCAGUCCUCACUCCGUCACCUCCUACUCACCCUCUGACCCACCCUGGUCUGGCUCUGCCCCCACCUCCACUGGAACUGCAUCUGUCCUUGACCAUGUGUCCACUGUUGCCCACCGCUGACCUCUGCUUUGCUUGGCCAAACUUUUCUCAGACUUCUCUCUUGCCUGUGGGCCUCUAAACUCUGCUCUCCCCCAAGCCUGGGCAUGCACAAGAAAGUAGAAAUCACCCCGCACCAACCAACCUCUCCUGGGAAUUAUUGACCAGAGUGGACAUUUCCCAGACCCACUGGGCAUGAGCUCUUGUGUGUCCAGCUUCCCCUCGGAAUAUUCUGCCUCUCUCUGCUUGCUCCUGCUUUGCUCAGUGAAAGAUACCCUUCUGUUUGAUCAUGAGGCACUUGCAGAUUUCUGAGCUCAGAGUGUCCUCCCUAUUGCAACAGUCUUCCUUUCUAUUUGGCAUCAUGAUCAGCAAGUCACACCCAUAUUUUCAAAUCCAGUGGCCACUUCGGUGCACACCUAACUCCUCCUCUCAAUGGCAUUUAGCGCGUUUCUGUCCUACUGAAAACACUUUCCUCCUCACCUGCCAUCACCCUGUCCUCUGGCCUUUCUCCUGCCACGUUCGUCUCCUUGCUUUUCCCCUUCCAAAGUUUGACUCUUUGCACCUUGUCCUGGGCCCUCUCUGCUUUCUCUCUGCAGGGGGUCCCAUCCCUCCCCAUUGUCUUGAUGGGCAUCUGUAUGUUGACGGCCCUCUAAGGACGUUGUCACCCUUCUGAGCUCCCAAUUCACGUACCUGAGGUCGGCCUGAUGUUUCCACUUGCUUAUCUAAUGGACACACCCAACCCGAAAGGAACUCUUCACUUGUAACCUUAAACUGGUUAUUCUCCAGGAUGAUGGAUUCACACCUGCCUCGGCCAUGCACCCCAUCACAAAACCAGAAGCCUAGGAGUGCUCCUGUCAUCUUGAUUUUUCUCUCACAUCAGUGAUUCCAAAAUAAGGACUUAACCUGUGUGCUUCUCUUCUUCUCGCUGUCCCCACCCACCAGAGUCUCCCACCUGGACUGUUACCAUUGCCUCCUAACUGACCUUCCUACUUGCAUGCCUGUCAUCAUCUGCCCAUUUUCAACAUGCCUUCCAGAAGACAAAAUCUAUACUUAUCAGCUGAAGUUUGCAUAAAAUGCUCCAGUGCCUUCCACUUGCACCCAGGAUUCAAUCCAAAGCCCCUCCCAGGGCUGCCCAGGCUGUUUCCCCAACCUCCUUAGGGCCAUCUCCUCCUGGCUCCUACCCUCCUUGGCCCACUGCUGCCCCCGGAUCACACCCAGCUCCUCCCAGGACCUCAGCCCUGGCUGCUCCAGACCUUCCACUUGGUCCCUUGCCUUCUGUCAGUUCCCAAAGGUCAUCUUCCCAGAGAGACCCUCCCUGACCCUGGGUAAACUGCGUCUCCCUAUGCUGCUCCAGCCAGCACCCUGUUGACUCCCCUCACAAUGCUAACAAGCAUCUGCAUUCCAUUUGCAUUUGUGGUUGUUUGCUUGUUUGUUCUGUCUCCCCCACUAGACAUUCCAGGAAGGUGAGGCCAUGCCUUGCCAGUACCUACUUAACAUUCAAUGAAUGAAUGAAUGAAUGAAUGAAUGAAUGAACGAACGAACGAGUGAACUCAGGGUGGUGCUUCACCUGCUGGUUUACACGCCUGUCUCUGCCCACCCACCCUGGU